rnacentral:piRNA from 1 species
UGGGUGUGCACAUGUUCAAGCUUCCGCUUC